rnacentral:rRNA from 1 species
UACAGAGGUCUCAAGCGUUGUUCGGAUUCAUUGGGCGUAAAGGGUGCGUAGGUGGCGUCGCAAGUGGGGUGUGAAAUCCCGGGGCUUAACCCCGGAACUGCAUUCCAUACUGCGGUGCUUGAGGACUGGAGAGGAGACUGGAAUUUACGGUGUAGCAGUGAAAUGCGUAGAGAUCGUAAGGAAGACCAGUGGCGAAGGCGGGUCUCUGGACAGUUCCUGACACUGAGGCACGAAGGCCAGGGGAGCAAACGGG